rnacentral:misc_RNA from 1 species
UACGAAGGUGGCGAGCGUUACUCGGAAUGACUAGGCGUAAAGGGCAGGUAGGCGGUUUGGUAAGUCUGCUGUGAAAGCUCCCGGCUUAACUGGGAGAGGUCAACAGAUACUGUCGAGCUUGAGUGCAGGAGAGGGUACUGGAAUUCCCGGUGUAGCGGUGAAAUGCGCAGAGAUCGGGAGGAACACCAAUGGCGAAAGCAAGUACCUGGACUGUUACUGACGCUCAGCUGCGAAAGCUAGGGGAGCAAACAGG